UCAAACAGGCGGCAGGAGGCAUCGUCCGAGCCUGUGCAGAUGGCCUCUCCAUUGGGGAAGAACUGAGGGUACAGGCGGCAAGGGGGGUGAGCUGAGCUCC